AUUGAACGCUGGCGGCAUGCCUUACACAUGCAAGUCGAACGGCAGCACGGGUGCUUGCACCUGGUGGCGAGUGGCGAACGGGUGAGUAAUAUAUCGGAACGUACCUUAUUGUGGGGGAUAACGCAGCGAAAGCUGUGCUAAUACCGCAUAAUCCCUAAGGGGGAAAGCGGGGGACCGUAAGGCCUCGCGCAAUUAGAGCGGCCGAUACCUGAUUAGCUAGUUGGUGAGGUAAAGGCUCACCAAGGCAACGAUCAGUAGCUGGUCUGAGAGGACGAUCAGCCACACUGGGACUGAGACACGGCCCAGACUCCUACGGGGGGCAGCAGUGGGGAAUUUUGGACAAUGGGGGCAACCCUGAUCCAGCAAUGCCGCGUGAGUGAAGAAGGCCUUCGGGUUGUAAAGCUCUAUUGUCAGGGAAGAAACAGCAGCUCUAACACAGUAUGCGAAUGACGGUACCUGAAGAAUAAGCACCGGCUAACUACGUGCCAGCCGCCGCUGUAA
rnacentral:rRNA from 1 species